GUGCUGAAAUGCUGUGACUGGGAAGGGAUCUCAGCUGACGCUGCUGCACCUGCUGUUGCUGUUUGCGGUUUCGAACAACGGGGGAACGUCCCAGCGGAUUAGCGAGUAAAAUGGCGCUGGACUUGUGGCGGGAAAACGACGGAAAGGUUCAUGACUGGAGACAGCAAGAGAAGUGGUUUACAAACGCCUGCUCGAUAGACGGACGACCUGAAGCGCGAAGUAAAGCAUCUUUAGUUUAGUUGUUGUUUUAGGCAGAAUCUAGUCCUUUUAAUUAUUGAUAUGAAACAAUUUUCAUUCACGUUCUGCACUAAAUUAAUGCAUCACAUGACACAUCAGCACAACUUAACUAAGGCUGAGUUGCACCACCUAACUUUGACCGUAACUAUAAUGAUAACCGGUGUUUUUGUAUGGAUUUUUACAGAUUUUUGACGUUUGUCAAAGUUAAAGUAAGUAUAAGGUUGUGCAACCCAGCCUAAGUUACACGUACUACGUUUUACAAUAAGUACGUUAUCUGCUAUAGAAAUGACAUAAAUCAUGGUGAUGGGAGUGAUACAAAAAAUCUGGAGAUGGUUCUAAUGGAACGCUAACGUUUCGCACCUCAUGUGAAUACGAUAUUGCGACGUGUAUGGCGUUAUGAUGUGUAUGACAUAAUUUGAAGGGUAGUUUGAUGUGUUUGGUGAUAUAGUAAAAAUAUACCAGUAAAUGUU